rnacentral:rRNA from 1 species
UUUUUAAUUGAGAUCUUGUAUGAAUGAUUGGACAAAAGGAAAACUGUCUUUAUAUUAAAAUUUGAAUUUAACUUUUAAGUGAAAAGGCUUAAAUUUUCUAAAGGGACGAUAAGACCCUAUAAAACUUUACAUUAAAAUUAAUAUUUUAUUGAAUUUUAUUAUAAUAAUUUAAUUUAAUUUUUUGUUAUGUUGGGGAGACAAAAGCUAAAAUUUAUAUUAACUGCUUGGGAGAAAAACAAUAAUAAAUGAGUUAAAAGUUUAUAGAUCCUUUAUAAAGAUUAAAAGAUUAAGUUACUUUAGGGAUAACAGCGUUAUUUUUUUUUAGAGUUCAUAUCAAAAAAAAAGAUUGCGACCUCGAUGUUGAAUUAAAAUAUCUUUAUAAUGCAGGUGUUAUAAAAGAAAGUCUGUUCGACUUUUAAUUUUUUA